GCCGUGGCACCACCGGACAAAAUGGCGGGAGCGGGUGGCAGCGACGGCCAAGCCCUGGCUCCCAGGAUGGAGAUCAUAGAAAUGAGUGAUGAGUUAAGAAGCAAGCAAGAAAUUGUGAAUGGAUUGAAUAUAUUUUUGGAAGAAAAUGAGACUUAAUAUGAGAAGUAAGAAGUUUGGUAUAAUUACAAAUGAAGAAUUCAGAAAACCACCAGAAAAUUCUUGCUUUGGAUUCAAUAUGUCAGCUGGUAUGUACUGUCACUAUUAAAAGUGAGUGCUUUCAGGGGCGCCUGGGUGGCGC